GAUGAACGCUGGCGGCGUGCCUAAUACAUGCAAGUCGAGCGAACAGACGAGGAGCUUGCUCCUCUGACGUUAGCGGCGGACGGGUGAGUAACACGUGGAUAACCUACCUAUAAGACUGGGAUAACUUCGGGAAACCGGAGCUAAUACCGGAUAAUAUAUUGAACCGCAUGGUUCAAUAGUGAAAGACGGUUUUGCUGUCACUUAUAGAUGGAUCCGCGCCGCAUUAGCUAGUUGGUAAGGUAACGGCUUACCAAGGCAACGAUGCGUAGCCGACCUGAGAGGGGGAACGGCGGCAGGGGAACUGAGACACGGUCCAGGGUCCGACGAGAGGCAGCAGUAGGGAAUCUGCGGCAAUGGGGGAAAGCCUGGCGGAGCAACGCGGCGUGAGUGGUGAAGGUCUUCGGAUCGUAAAACUGUGUUAUUAGGGAAGAACAAAUGUGUAAGUAACUAUGCACGGCUUGACGGUACCUAAUCAGAAAGCCACGGCUAACUACGUG
rnacentral:rRNA from 1 species